AUUGAACGCUGGCGGCAUGCUUUACACAUGCAAGUCGAGCGGCAGCGCGGGGGCAACCCUGGCGGCGAGCGGCGGACGGGUGAGUAAUGCAUCGGAACGUAUCCCGUAGUGGGGGACAACCCAGCGAAAGCUGGGCUAAUACCGCAUAUGCUCUACGGAGGAAAGUGGGGGGACCCGCAAGGGCCUCACGCUAUGGGAGCGGCCGAUGUCCGAUUAGCUAGUUGGUGGGGUAAAGGCCUACCAAGGCGACGAUCGGUAGCUGGUCUGAGAGGAUGAUCAGCCACACUGGGACUGAGACACGGCCCAGACUCCUACGGGAGGCAGCAGUGGGGAAUUUUGGACAAUGGGGGCAACCCUGAUCCAGCCAUGCCGCGUGCGGGAAGAAGGCCUCGGUUGUAA
rnacentral:rRNA from 1 species